GCGUAGCAGUGGAUUGGCAAGGUGACAUAACAACUAUUUGCAAGUCUACAUGCUGUCUGAUGUUACUAAGGUAACUAAAUUGCACAGCAAUCUGCUCGGAAGUCCCUAAGAAGAUAAAGUGGUCAGUGCUGCUCUGCUUUGAAGACAUCAGGUACCAACCCUUUCCUGCAUCAUGUGGAAUCUAAUGAGAAGCAGACAUCAUUUGGUCACAACACUACAGAUAGCUUGCAGAAAAACAGUAAUACAAGUUAUUUCUUCCCCUCCAUCCAGCCCUGCUUUUUACAGAAUAUUGCUGACCGGCUGAAAUGUUACCCAAGCAACAUCCACUCUUCAGUUUACUUCUCUCAGCAGCUUCAGUUGAAGAAGGAACAAGACCCAGGAAAGUGUUUGGAAAUCUCUCUUGCAUCCUCCCAGUCUGAGGCCAACCAGAGGCAGAGCAGCUCCUGUUUACAUAGGAUUUGAGCACCAUUGUCACUGGAAGAAAAAAUAUUCCAGUGUGAGAGGGAUCCUCAGAUGGCAAGGCUGUAUCGAGGAGAGGGCUUUGAAUAAGCCCGGUGCAACUGAGAAAAGAUGUUGGAUGAAACGAACUGGAACUUCUUCUCUAACGUGGAUUUUAUGCUUGGUGCCAUGCAGACAGCAGUGGGGGGAGGGUGAUUUCAGUCUCUGCUACACCAACAAAAACAAACGUGUUGUUUAAACUUGGCAUUGACACAAAUAAAAUAAAAACUGAGCUGUUGUUUGGAGUCUUCGUGUAUUUGAUGGGGAUUCAAGGGGGUAAGGAAGAUGCUGCCAGCAGGGGCAGGCAUCAAAACCAACCGAACCCGCUGCAGUAUCAGUGCUUGAAGGAGCAAAUAGACGGCAGGAAGGCAAGGGCUUACCCCACGCCCCAUGAGGUGCUGAAUGGUGCUGAGGCACUUUAAGGCCUGCAGUGCCCCACCCCAAACUGUUAAUGAGCUCAUUAAUACCCGUUGCCACUCUCUCCCUCGCACCCAGCUCAGGGCAAUGGCCUUCAAAGAGAGGAGAACAGCUCGCUGUGAAGAGCUGCGUUCUUGGAGGGGAGUUUGCCCAGGAUGCCAGGGAGCAAGGCGCCUGAGCCAGGGAGAGGAGACUGCUGUCCCAGUGUCACAGGGUGUUCGAGCCAGGGACAGAACGAAGAUGGAAAAAUCCUAUAGGAUAGCAGCUACAAAAUGUUACGGCGGUCACAACACUGAUCUCAGAUUUUCUUCCCCCGGAGUAGGAAGUAGCGUCCUUCCCUCAGAUGAAGGGGGAAGGCUCCUUUUAGAAUUUAGGGCACCGGAUCAUCACAGAAGUGAGAGGAAAAGCCAUGUUCACAGCGCUGAGGAGUAAAAGGAAGUACAAAACACACACAGCUAUCAUUUCACAAUAUUGGUUCCGUGCCACAGAUGAAAUUUACAGUAAUUAGAAAUCAUCUGGAGGCUGCUCGGCAGAUUGAGUCUUCAGCUGGAAGUGCUUUGUGACAGGUGGCUUACCACAAAGCAACAUCACAAUUACCUAACACACGGGCUGAUUUGUGUAAACUCUCAUUACUGCUCACGUUAUUUAAUAAACUACGUGCAUACUCUCA
ensembl:lncRNA